UAGGGAAUUGUUCGCAAUGGGCGCAAGCCUGAUCCAGCAAUGCCGCGUGAGUGAUGAAGGCCUUAGGGUUGUAAAGCUCUUUUACCCGGGAUGAUAAUGACAGUACCGGGAGAAUAAGCCCCGGCUAACUCCGUGCCAGCAGCCGCGGUAAUACGGAGGGGGCUAGCGUUGUUCGGAAUUACUGGGCGUAAAGGGCUCGUAGGCGGCCAACUAAGUCAGACGUGAAAUCCCUCGGCUUAACCGGGGAACUGCGUCUGAUACUGGAUGGCUUGAGUUUGGGAGAGGGAUGCGGAAUUCCAGGUGUAGCGGUGAAAUGCGUAGAUAUCUGGAGGAACACCGGUGGCGAAGGCGGCAUCCUGGACCAACACUGACGCUGAGUGAGCGAAAGCCAGGGGAGCAAA
rnacentral:rRNA from 1 species